rnacentral:rRNA from 1 species
ACCCGACUGCUAUUUGGGUGAGGAUAAGCCAUGCGAGUUGGAUGGGAUACCUAAACUUCCCAUAGCAAACUGCUUAGUAACACAUGAUCAACUUGCCCUAUGGAGAAAAAUAACCUCGGGAAACUGAGGAUAAUGUUUCAUAGUUGAAUAGGCUUGGAAAAGUUUUUCAAUGAAAGGAAUAAGAUAAAUGGUUCUUAUUUGCCAUAGGAUAGGAUCGUGGUCGAUUAUGGUAGUUGGUGAGAUAACGGCUCACCAAGCCGAUAAUCGAUAGGGGCCGUGAGAGCGGGAGCCCCAAGAUGGGUACUGAGACAGCGACCCAGGCCUUACGAGGCGCAGCAGGCGCGAGACCUCCGCAAUACACGAAAGUGUGACGGGGUUACCCAAAGUGUUCUCUUAAGAACUGUGGUAGGUGAGUAAUGUCCCCUACUAGAGAGGAGAGGGCAAGGCUGGUGCCAGCCGCCGCGGUAAAACCAGCUCUUCAAGUGGUCGGGAUAAUUAUUGGGCUUAAAGUGUCCGUAGCCGGUUUAGUAAGUUCCUGGUAAAAUCGGGUAGCUUAACUAUCUGCAUGCUAGGAAUACUGCUAUACUAGAGGGCGGGAGAGGUCUGAGGUACUACAGGGGUAGGGGUGAAAUCUUAUAAUCCUUGUAGGACCACCAGUGGCGAAGGCGUCAGACUGGAACGCGCCUGACGGUGAGGGACGAAAGCCAGGGGAGCGAACCGGAUUAGAUACGUCGGUGCUAGAAUAAUAAAAUAACUAACACCAUGCUAAAAACUCGGGUAGUCCUGGCCGUAAACGAUGCAUACUAGGUGAUGGUACGGCCAUGAGCCGUAUCAGUGCCGUAGGGAAACCGUUAAGUGUGCCGCCUGGGAAGUGCGGUCGCAAGGCUAAAACUUAAAGGAAUUGGCGGGGGAGCACCACAAGGGGUGAAGCCUGCGGUUCAAUUGGACUCAACGCCGGGAAACUUACCAGGGGAGACAGUAGAAUGAGGGUCAGGUUGACGACCUUACCUGAUGAGCUGAGAGGAGGUGCAUGGCCGUCGCCAGUUCGUGCCGUGAGGUAUCCUGUUAAGUCAGGCAACGAACGAGAUCCGCGCCUUUAUUUGCCAACAAGAAGUUACGACUUCGUUGGGAACACUAAAGGGACCGCCGUCGAUAAGACGGAGGAAGGAGCGGGCAAAGGCAGGUCAGUAUGCCCCGAAACCCCUGGGCUACACGCGGGCUGCAAUGGUAUGAACAAUGGGCUGUAACUCCGAAAGGAGAAACCAAUCCCGAAAUCAUAUCACAGUGGGGAUUGUUGGCUGUAACCCGCCGACAUGAACGUGGAAUCCCUAGUAAUCGUGUGUCAUCAUCGCACGGUGAAUACGUCUCUGCUCCUUGCACACACCGCCCGUCGCUCCAUCCGAGUGUACUAAAAAUGAGGUUUGGUCAGACUGGUCAUAUCGAGUUUCUAGUAUGCGAGGAGGGAG